UAGAAUUUAGUUGAUAAACAACAUUAAAUUGCAAAUUUAAAGGAAAUUAUUUUAAUUCUAU
rnacentral:tRNA from 1 species